AGAAGAUAGAGAUGUGAGAGAGAGUGAGAUCCAGAUUUGAGCCUUGAUUCUUCUCUUUGCUUGGCUUUCCUCCUUCGCUGGUGAGUGGUGUAUCAUCUUCCGCCGCUGCAAGAUGUCCCGACAAAGUGACUAUCAGCCUUCUCCCCUGUUGUGUCAGCUAAGAAACUGCCCUUGUUGACGGUGGGUGUCGGAUCCUUCUCCCUCCUCUGUUCUUAGUGUCACCGGCGUGGGUGGCAAGGAUUCGACUUGCCACCGCCUUCCUCUACCUACACUUCACAUCGUUCAGGUUUUUAUGCCGUCUCCUUCUGCUUUUCUUCACUGAACGCUGUAACAGAUCAAAGACUGUUCCUCUUUUCCUCACCGACGUCGAUUGCGUGGGGUAGAGCUGAUCCUUUCUUCUAUCCGUGCACUACUGUUGGUAUUGCCAUUGAGUCCCUCAUUCAUCGUCUUCCUCUAUUUCAAGACCAAAACAGCUAGGAAACAAUAUUAAUAUUUACUUAGAGCCUUUGAUUGAGGACUUGAAAAUGUUAUGGGAGGAAGGUAUAGAUGUAUUUGAUGCUUACAAGUAAGAGCACUUCAAGUUACGUGCCAUGAUUUUUGUAACAAUAAAUGACUUCCCUGUAUAUAGAAACUUGUCAGGAUAUAGUUAAAGGCCAUAAUGCAUGUCCUAUAUGUGAAGAAGGUAUACACUACUACCAACUUAAGCAUGAAAAGAAAACAAGCUAUCUUAGUGUAAUGACCUUAAAUUUUAAAUUAAAUUAAAUUAAAUUUUCUUCCAAUUGAUAUUUUAUUUAAAUUAGUUUUAUAGUAAGUGGAGAGUCAUUGUUUAAGUGAAACUUAUACUAGUAACUUUUUUGAAGGUCUAGAGUUCAAAUUCUAUUAAGCAAAAGUUUGAUUUUGUUUUGUUUAAAUUAUAGAAAAAUUGUGUCCUUUAUUGUAAUUUUCCUCGUGCCUUUCUUGUAAUUUUCCUAAAUUAUUUUUGGUUCAGAUUUUUUUCUUCUUCACGCCUAAAGAACAGAGUAUCAUUUCCAUUUCCUUCUCUUCACCGACAUGAACUCUCUCUCUGUCUCUCUAUUUCUCUUCGAUCUUUCUAGCGAGCUCACACUAUUAUGACUCUAUUCAUCAUUCUUCCUCCUUCCUCCUUCCGCCAGCGUCCUCUUCAAUCUCCAACACUACAGCUUCGGUCUCACCUCUUUGCUCUGAAAUUUUCAAUGAUGUAGUGUGAGUUGUGUGCGCUUCAUCAUCCCUUUCUCCUCAUCUGCUGCUCGUGAAUCCAUUAGUGGUCUUCAACUCCCUUUUUUGCAGCUGUGCUUUUACAGACGAUGUGUUUAAAAUGUGAGAUUUCUUCCUUCGUCAUCAUCCCUUGUCUCCUUUCGGCUCUGUGGUCGAUGGAGGUGUCUGUUGUGCGCCUUCAGUCUUCAUCUCUUCAUCCUUUCUCAGCUGUAAGUAUCACAGGGGUUUAUGUGAUCAUUUGCGGUAUCACUAAAGUAAAUGAGAACUUGAGGAGGUCAAACUGUAAAAUUCCUGAAAACCCUCAGAUAUUAUAACUAAACCUGCACCUCUUGUGGACUAUUGAGGAACCCUACUGUUUUUGGAAGGAGAAAGUGCAUUGUGAAUAUCCCUUUUUGGUACAUAAAGGGUUUUACUGAAGAUGUAGUUGACACGUCUAGUGCAACUUACAAGAAAAGAGGUAGAGGAAGUACAAAAUUGAAGGAGAUGGCACUACAUCAGGGUACUGCAAGGAGAGUGCAUUCAGAGUUUAGUGGUGGUAAAAGACCACUUGGUUUAGAAGGAGAUAAGUUUGUAAGUUACAUAGGUCUCAUAGCUCGGAGUAAGGUUAGGAUCUUGUAUCAUAAUUGGCAAGAAGUACCAAAAGCUAUGAAGGACAUGAUUUGGAGUGAUAUUUUGAGGUAUUGGCUUUAACAAGAAUGUGAUUGGUGGAAAGAUUUCAAGUCAUCACUUUCCAGGGAAUACAUUUGAGGAGCAAAGAAGAAGAACAAUUCAUGUUUGGAAUAUAAUUUCAUUGAUGAAGACACUUGGAGAGAAUUUGUGAGGUCAUAAGAUGAUCCUAAAUUUUAGGAAUUAAGUGCUACAAAAAAGAGAGACCAUUCAAAAAUAAAUAUCAAUAUGUCUCGGGAGGGAUAUAGGAAGCUGGACCAAAAACUUAGGGAAGUUGAUUUGAAGCAAUUGGAGGAAGCUGCAAGAUCUGACCCCAGUAUUGUUGUUCAUCCCCUAGCUCCUCCAACUCGUCGAAGAAAAUGGAAAGAAGCGAAAAUUAAGAAAGGCCAAUAAAUUACUCCGAAGGAUUCACUUGAGGAACAAGCUUCCCAAGGUUCAUUUCAAUCUACUAGAAGAAUGGAUAUCUUGGCAUCAGUAAUUAGAACGCCAGAUUAUUCUGUUCAUGUUAGGGGGUAGGAAAAUCAGUUGGUCUAAAGGAGUAUUUCAGACCAAUUUCGUGAGGCUCAUCAAGAGUUGUAUCAAGAGCUGAGCUUGAUGACCUUCUAGUAAAGGUUAGAGAUGAAUGUGCUUGAAAGUAUGAGCAGGAUAAUUUAUUGCUCUGUGAGCAGAUUCUUCAAGAGGUUAGAUCCAUGGUCACCAAUAUAGGAACCACACAAGAUACUGGGCAAGGAAUUGGGCAGCAGGAACUCUAGGUUUUCAUUACUUUUAAUUAGUUUAAUUAUUCAAUUUUGUUUAUUUUAUUUUAUUUUCUUUCAUUGUGUUUACUUAUUUCUCUAGACUUCUCCCAUGCUUUAAAGCACCAAAGAUAGCUGUAAUUCACUAGAGAUAGCACUACAUGCCUCUAGUCCCUUAGUAGAAGAGGAACAAGUUUGUUUUCUUUAUUUGGAUAAUCAUUGAAGGCAGAUUGUUGGUCCAGCACGGCUAUAUUUGCUCACAAAAACAAUCCAUAACAUAAGUAUUUUGGAUGCUCAAGUGAAGGUGAUAGUUUAGGUUGUUCUUGAGCCAAACAUGAAUAUGCCAUUCCCUAGCAAUGAGGUUGAAAAAUUAGGAGAAGAAUUGAGACAAUUCAUUUUAUGGCCUAAAGACUCGUUGACAUAGAGAUAACAACUUCAAUAGUAGAAAAACUCUUCAUUAUUCUUUGAUUUUCUCUUUUAAUUAUUUAUAUAACUUUUAUUCAUUUCAUCUUUUAUUAGAAUAUUGAUAAUGCUGAGGGCUACUCUACUCUAUUACAAUUACAUGAAUUUUUUAAGGCAAUGACAAAGCCUCUCAAUUUGGCAAUGCCUAAAGAAAUUGUGGGUAUAGACAAGUCAUAUCCUUUUACAAUGAAAAAGAAAGACAUCUUGGAAUUCUCAUUGAUUAGGGAGUUGGAUAUCUCAUGGAUUAUGUUAUCUAUCUUGUAAUUUUAUUACCUUUAUUCUAUCUCAUUUUUAUUUAUUUUAAUUUAUAUACAAUAAUUUUUGUGUCCUUCUAUUAAUAGGUUUCUUAGUAAUCUUUGUACUGGACCACGGAAAGAUCAAUUUGGAUUUUUGUAUCCAGCUUUUCUGACAUCGGCUUAUAAUGGUAUCAAUGAUAGAAUGAGAUACGUGGGCAAUACUAUUUCAGAAACAAAAUUGCCACGUUAUUUGGCUCCAAUUCUUGAAGGGCAAGUUCUUUUAUAUUCAUUUAUAUAUAUAUAUAUAUAUAGUUUGAUAAUUUUUUUAUGCUUUCAUGUAUUGAUUUCUUUUAUCUCUUUAUAGUUCCUAUUGGUCCCUUUGUGUUAUAUGCCCAUAUUUGCAUGAGAUCUAUUAGUUUUUUUCCUUGGGCAAGCAAUCGAGUGCUGAAACUAAAAAUAUAUUCAACACGUAAGUUAAGAUUAUUUUUAUAAAAUAUUAGAUAUUUAUUUUUUUUAAUACUUUAUAUUUUAUUUAAAUUUCAUUAUAGAGCAUUGAAGAUAUAUUAUAUGAUCGAGGGAAAGUGUCACCCAGCUAAAAAUAUAUCUAAAAAAUAUUCCUCACCGACUUAGAUUUUUCCAAACGUAAGUAAUUUCAAUUCAAUACCUUUUAUCCAUAACUUUUUUAUAUAUAUUUUUGUUUAUACUUAUUGUUUGAUUCUUAAUUUUUAGUGUCAUCACUAGAUAGGGAGUACAGAAUGUUAAUAUUAUAUUAUUCAUUAUAUGUAUGAGAUUAUUCAAUCUGAAACUAACAAAAAUUUACACAUGGUAAGUUACAUUAUUAUUUAUUUUGAUAAUAUUAGUUUUGUGAGGCUUUAGAAUUUGGAUAUUUAAUGAACAUCCAAUAAAAAUUUGCAGCUUUUUGAUGAUGAGUACCCCUAUACCAGUGAAGACAUAACUGAUGUUUGAAAUAAUUUAAUAGGUUAUCUUCUUUAAGAGCUAUUUACAUAGUAAUUUUAUAGUUUGUCCAUUAAGUUAGAUAGAAGGAUAUAAACCCUAAUGUGUUCAAGUAGUUUGUUGGAAUUUGAUUGUAAAUAUUGACACUUGAAUAGAUGACAAUAGUUUUGUUAUUCCAAUAUAUUUGGUAUAUUUUUUUUAUGAUAGUUUAUGAAUGACUGUAAAUGAGUUGCUAUUUACUAGACUUUUGUUGUAUGAAUU